rnacentral:rRNA from 1 species
AACGAACGCUGGCGGCAUGCCUAACACAUGCAAGUCGAACGAGACCUUCGGGGCUAGUGGCGCACGGGUGCGUAACGCGUGGGAACCUGCCCUUAGGUUCGGAAUAACUCCCCGAAAGGGGUGCUAAUACCGGAUAAUGUCUUCGGACCAAAGAUUUAUCGCCUUUAGAUGGGCCCGCGUUGGAUUAGCUAGUUGGUAGGGUAAAAGCCUACCAAGGCGACGAUCCAUAGCUGGUCUGAGAGGAUGAUCAGCCACAUUGGGACUGAGACACGGCCCAGACUCCUACGGGAGGCAGCAGUGGGGAAUAUUGGACAAUGGGCGAAAGCCUGAUCCAGCCAUGCCGCGUGAGUGAUGAAGGCCUUAGGGUUGUAAAACUCUUUUACCCGGGAUGAUAAUGACGGUACCGGGAGAAUAAGCCCCGGCUAACUCCGUG